UGGGGAAUUUUGGACAAUGGGCGAAAGCCUGAUCCAGCAAUGCCGCGUGUGUGAAGAAGGCCUUCGGGUUGUAAAGCACUUUUGUCCGGAAAGAAAUCCUUGGCUCUAAUACAGUCGGGGGAUGACGGUACCGGAAGAAUAAGCACCGGCUAACUACGUGCCAGCAGCCGCGGUAAUACGUAGGGUGCAAGCGUUAAUCGGAAUUACUGGGCGUAAAGCGUGCGCAGGCGGUUUGCUAAGACCGAUGUGAAAUCCCCGGGCUCAACCUGGGAACUGCAUUGGUGACUGGCAGGCUAGAGUAUGGCAGAGGGGGGUAGAAUUCCACGUGUAGCAGUGAAAAUGCGUAGAGAUGUGGAGGAAUACCGAUGGCGAAAGGCAGCCCCCUGGGCCAAAUACUGACGCUCAUGCACGAAAGCGUGGGGGAGCAAACAGGAUUAGAUACCCUGGUAGUCCACGCCCUAAAACGAUGUCAACUAGUUGUUGGGGAUUCAUUUCCUUA
rnacentral:rRNA from 1 species